rnacentral:rRNA from 1 species
UACGGAGGGGGCUAGCGUUGUUCGGAAUUACUGGGCGUAAAGCGCACGUAGGCGGCUUUGCAAGUUAGAGGUGAAAGCCCGGGGCUCAACUCCGGAAUUGCCUUUAAAACUGCAUCGCUAGAAUUGUGGAGAGGUAAGUGGAAUUCCGAGUGUAGAGGUGAAAUUCGUAGAUAUUCGGAAAAACACCAGUGGCGAAGGCGACUUACUGGACACAUAUUGACGCUGAGGUGCGAAAGCGUGGGGAGCAAACAGG